UACGUAGGGGGCUAGCGUUAUCCGGAAUUACUGGGCGUAAAGGGUGCGUAGGUGGUUUCUUAAGUCAGAGGUGAAAGGCUACGGCUCAACCGUAGUAAGCCUUUGAAACUGGGAAACUUGAGUGCAGGAGAGGAGAGUGGAAUUCCUAGUGUAGCGGUGAAAUGCGUAGACAUUAGGAGGAACACCAGUUGCGAAGGCGGCUCUCUGGACUGUAACUGACACUGAGGCACGAAAGCGUGGGGAGCAAACAGG
rnacentral:rRNA from 1 species